rnacentral:rRNA from 1 species
GACGAACGCUGGCGGCGUGCUUAACACAUGCAAGUCGAACGGUAAGGCCCUUCGGGGUACACGAGUGGCGAACGGGUGAGUAACACGUGGGUGAUCUGCCCUGCACUUCGGGAUAAGCCUGGGAAACUGGGUCUAAUACCGGAUAGGACCCUGGGAUGCAUGUCCUGGGGGGGAAAGCUUUUGCGGUGUGGGAUGGGCCCGCUGCCUAUCAGCUUGUUGGUGGGGUGAUGGCCUACCAAGGCGACGACGGGUAGCCGGCCUGAGCGGGUGACCGGCCACACUGGGACUGAGAUACGGCCCAGACUCCUACGGGAGGCAGCAGUGGGGAAUAUUGCACAAUGGGCGCAAGCCUGAUGCAGCGACGCCGCGUGAGGGAUGACGGCCUUCGGGUUGUAAACCUCUUUCAGCACCGACGAAGCGCAAGUGACGGUAGGUGCAGAAGAAGGACCGGCCAACUACGUGCCAGCAGCCGCCGUAA